CAGUAGCCGCGGGAAUACGUAGGGUGCAAGCGUUAAUCGGAAUUACUGGGCGUAAAGCGUGCGCAGGCGGUUAUAUAAGACAGAUGUGAAAUCACCGGGCUCAACCUGGGAACUGCAUUUGUGACUGUAUAGAUAGAGUACGGCAGAGGGGGAUGGAAUUCCGCGUGUAGCAGUGAAAUGCGUAGAUAUGCGGAGGAACACCGAUGGCGAAGGCAAUCCCCUGGGCCUGUACUGACGCUCAUGCACGAAAGCGUGGGGAGCAAACAGGAUUAGAUACCCGGGUAGUCCCUGUCUCUUAUAC
rnacentral:rRNA from 1 species